CUUAUUAACCUUUCUUGUCUGCUUUUUCAAUGGUCAGUGAAACAGGGUACUUUGAAGAGAGCAAAAGUAUUGAAUGGAUGCUAGAGAAAAUAGGCACUUAGAAGUAAGUGAGAGAUGCCCUAGAAAAGUUUAUUCCAAGUCUUUUUUAAUCCCCUUCAUUUUCUGUUUUUCAGAUGGGAAUCCUACUAUGUUGCCCAGGCUGGUUUCAAACUAUUGGACUCAAGCAACCUUCCUGCCUCAGCCUCCAGAAUAGCUGGGAUGACAGUCAUGCACCACAGUGCCCAACUCCAAAUCUUUUGAGAAGUGUUUGGGACUGAGACUUCAGGGAGAAAACACGUUUCAUAAAAGUGAUGCAACCAAAACACUUUAUUAACUACUCUUCUUUCUUCUGUCUUCUAUUUAUAAGAGAAGUUGCAAUAAAACAGGCUCCUACAAAGACCGAUAUUGAACAUGUACCUUUUAAAAGGUUCUGAGGCAUCAGUGUAGACUCAAUUUCACCUCUACCCUUCUGUCCACAUCUCCAAUCCCAGAUGGUGAGAGUCCAUGCCUGUGGUAACUUCUGGUCAGAACCCAGAAGGUUGAAUUCCUUGCUCUGUGCUUGCUAAGAUGGGAAAAUAGACUCUUCUUUUGAGAGAAAUCUCCUGAUUCUAAGAGAAACAUAAAGGAUUCUUUUUUUUUCUCAAGUUAAUAUUCAGUUCAUAAAAAUGGAGUUUAGGAGAAAUUCUCCAAGCUUUGAAUUUUUGAAUCAAUUUAACUUUUACUACAAAAGCAAAUCUGAAACCACAAAUUAAUUGGGGAAGAAGGGACACACUUCACUAAGGAUUUUUUACUUAGCUAGAGACGCUGUUGUGGUGCUUCUUAAAUCAGAGAGUAUUUCUGGUACCUUAAAAUCAUUUCAUUCUGUGAAAGAGAACAUUCUGGCUGGGCAUGGUGGGGCACACCUCUAAUCCCAGUUGCUUGGGAGGCCGAGGCAGGAGGAUCACAAGUUAAAAGCCAGCUCAACAACUUAGUGAGACCCCUUCUCAAAAGAAAAGAAUUAAAAGGGGUGGGGGUGUGGCUCAGUCGUUAGGCACUCCUGGAUUAACUCCUCAGUACAAAAAAGAAGGAAAAAAAGAAAGAAAGAGAGAACAUUCAAUUUGUGAAGUCUGGCACAAUAUACCUGGCCACUUGAGAUCCCUGGAACUGACAUCAUGUUAAUUCUGGGAGGGAAUUUGAGUCUCCACUCUUCACUUUAGAAAGGAAGAAACUGUGGCCUGGAGAAAUUUCCUGACUUUUCACAGUGCAAAGUCCAGUGUCCAGUUUUCUCCCAUUACUGUGCCUCAUCUUGUGUCCAAGAUCUGGGACUCCUAGUUGGAACUCGACCUGGUCCUCAGCUGCCGUCAAGGAUGCUUAGUCAGUGAUCCCCUUUUUGGAUUUCAUUUGUGCUGUUUCUUUGUUUUAUUAUGGAAAACUUUCAAACAUUGAAGUAGAGAAUAUACUCUAGCUCACUCCCAUGCACCCCUCACCUGGCUUCUACAGUGAUUAACUACAGCCAAUACCCAACCCUGUUUCCCCUCCAGCCAGAUGAUUUUAAAGCAAAUCCAAACCUCCUAUCAUUUCAUCUGUGACUACUCCAUGUGUAACUGUGAGCAAAACCUCUGAUACAUACAUGAAUAUCUGCAAUCAUAAUUUAAAAAUCAACAAUAAUUCCUUAGUCUCAUUGAACUUCCCAUAUUCUUUGUCUCUUCUUCUCUGUCUCUGUGUCUGCCCCCCACUCUGUAACUAGUUUGUUAGAAUCAAAAUCCUAACUCAGAGAUCAGGUCAGGUUAUCAGGCGGGACCACUGUCUGGUCAUUCAAAGUCCUUACAUGAGAUUGUUUGCUGUACUAAAAUACAGAAUAAGGACACUUUGCCUGAACUGUAGAGUACGCUCAUAAAUGCCUUCAUGUUCCAUAAGCUUCUUUGAACAUAACAUGCAUGUCAGAUAGGGUAGAUAGGUCAUGUGCCUCUGACACAGGAAAAAUGAGGUCCAGAGAUAUUAUGAGAUCCAAUUUAUGGUCAAAUUAAUAACCAUGUUUCCUGAACUUGGUUCUUCUUACUGCAACAAAAUCUCACGAAGGCCUCAUCUUAUUAAAAUUAUAACUUCUAAUUUUGUGGGGCUCGUUAGGUUCCUGUCCUCUUCUAAACAUUUCAUAAGUAGCCUCUCAUGUCGUUUUCAUAACAAUCCCAUGAAGUAGGUGCCUUUAUUCUCAUUGUGCUGGUGAGGAAUGCCAGGCCCAGAGAGGUUGAAACAUUUUCUCAAGGUCACCCAGCACCAGAAUCCAAACCCACACAUGAUUCAGGAGCUCAUGGUGAUGAUGAUUUCUAUAGUACACUGGUAUCACAGACUAGUACACACAUACAAAUAUGCACAUGCAAGGCAACUGUAAUUCUCAGUGUUAAAAAAUGAACCUGGGCUGGGGAUGUAACUCAGUGGUAGAAGGCUGAGGUCACACCCAUGAGGCCCUAGUUUUGAGCUCUGUUUCUGGAAAAAAAAAAAAAGUCCUUCAGUUUAUUUCCCUCUUUUUAGGAAGUGACUUUAAAUGUGAGAUAAAUUCACAUUUAAAAAAUGUCCUACUAUCCAGACAUUUCAUAGACACGGAGGUGAUUUUCCCUUAUCCUAAUUUGUGAAGUUCCACAGGACUAAGUAAUCAAGAGCUCAGGACCGUCUGCCCUCACCUCACACGGCCAGUGGCAGUGCCACGGGGUCCCCACCUAGGCCUGGCCCUGCUCACUCUGUCUUGUGCUUUCAGCAGCAUUCAAAGCCCUUUUUAGAAAAUGUUGCCUGGUCUUCUGUGGCCUUGGAUGGACAAAGUUUUCCACUAGACUUUUUUUUUUUUCCCCCAGCCACACUGGCCCUUAAGAAGAUGUUACUCAGGCCUCCACACCUACUUCAAACAUUUUUAGGGGCCCCGUCUGGGGGCCUCGUGCACCAUUGCCAGGAACCCUACAGAGAGGAGGAGCCCAGCCUCGGGGCCUGCCCUGUCGCCUGCCCGCCCUGUUUGCUGAGACCUGGUGGAGCUGCCCUGUUUGCUGAGACCUGGUGGAGCUGUGCUGUCAGCGAGCUGGUUCUUUUUCUCGCACCACCCCAAACAGCGUGUUCCUGCGAGGCAGCUGUUGCUUGUGGGGCCUUCUUCCUGCCCCAGCUACUUUUCCCAUGUCUCUGUCCCUCGUGUGUCCCCCCUUCCUUUCUUAAGGGCUUCCCCCCGAGUCUUUCGGUCACUGAACAGCUGUGCUCUGAUAUUAGAUAGAAUGUUUUCUGUCCCCACCACGAGCUUAUGAACAAAAGGGUUUUAAGAACCCUGAUAAAUGAACAAGGUCUCUGGGAAGAUGAAAUGUUACCAACAUUUCAAACAAUCAAAAUCCUUGUGCAUCUUGAGAGUUUGCCCUUUCAAAGCCGUGCGGGGCGGGUGUUUUGUCUUGGAGCCUUGGAGACCGGGUUUUUCUUUUUUUCAGUCUUCCUAUCGACCUGACAUGGGAAAGCUGGGCAGAGGAUGGUCCCUUUGCUGGUAUCAAAGCCCUGGGAUGGCUUUCCCAUCGGCUGUUUGUGCUGGUUCGAGGCCCCUCUGGGGAGGUUCAGGGGGUCCCAUUGGCAAAGAGAGACGAAGGCUGGGCUUUUUGAUGUUGAGGUCCUAUCUUUUCUCCAAGGACAUAGCUACCCCUGAUGAAGUGCUACCUGUUUGCAGGUGCUAUGCCAAGAAUUGUAUGUGUGUGUGUGUGUGUGGGGGGGGUAAUUGGGAAUUGAGCACAGGUGCACUUAACCACUGAGCCACAUCCCCAGCCCUUUUUAUUUUUCUUGAGAUAGUGUCUCACUAAGUUGCUUAAGUCUUGCUAAGGUGCUGAGGCUGGCCUUGAACUUGCAAUCCUCCUGCCUCAGCCUCCUGAGCUGCCACACCCAGCUGCCAAGUGCUUUUAUCUGCACAGCAAACUAGCAAUGUCUUCUAUGACUGCGUCACUAUCCCUGACUUUCAAAAGAGGACAAUGAGAGUUGAGGAAGCUUAGCAGCUUGCUCAAGUUUGCUCCAAGUGGAGGAACUGGUAUUCAAAUCCCAAUUUUUUUUUUUUGAAUUUUAAUUUUUUCCUCUGAACCCUCUGUUUUCUUUGGUAAUCAUGAAUUCUCUGAGUGUCUGGCUACACCAGGGGACUUGUAGCUUGUUCAGCCUUCCUACCUCCUUAUAGGAACUCCUAAACCAAGGGGGCUGUCCUUUCUCUUCUCUACUCCCCCUGCCUGUCUCCCGUCUCCACUUCUCGAGUGUGUAUAUCUGGCUUAAUUUCUCUUUUCCACUCCACCCGAGUCUUAGGUCACUUGCCCUGGUUCACUGGCCACCCAGUCCAGGGUCCCAACCAGACGUUCACUCCCCAGUCCAAGCCUCUUCUUGGUCCUGCCUUACAUGGGAACACAAAGGUCAAGGCUUAAAGUAAAAUGACAGAUGGAAAGAAAAGCCUCCCCCCGUGUGUGGAGCUCCGUGAAAUCCUUCAUUAUGGGAUUUCCCUUGUCGGGGCUGCAGGAGAAGCCUCAAGGCUCACGGCAAAAAUCGACAACACAUCAGGGCACUGUGCACGCAGACCUUUCUCGUCACAGUCACAGGACGUCUGAUGAGUGGUCCCAGGAGUGGGGGCAACAGGGAGAUGGGGCAGGAUGAGGAAAGAGAGGGAAGAAAAGAGGGAAAUGAUCGGCAUCAUGACUUCAUUUCCUGCCCCUUGGCACCAUGCCUGCUCUGCCCCACAGAGACCCCAAAAAGAGGCCUUUUAAAAAUGCAGCAGGAAGGACUUAGGCAAGACCCCAGGAAGUUCAUUGAAACCAUCCAAGUGUAUAGAUCCAGGAAGAGAUCAGUAAGGCAUCUCCUUCUCUGAAGAUCUUGCAGAUGAGGAUUCAGACUGACUCAUCAUCUGGGGGAAUUCAGGGUUGGGGCUGAGCUGAGGUAGAGGCUUGGACUCCGUGACUGACUCUCUGAAUUCAGGGGUAAAUAGUCCUGGGCUGUCCUCAGAGCCUUCUCAUCUCACGAUCACAUCAGAAAGUCCACACGAGGGACCACCAAGUGGUGUACAGAGCAAGAUUUGGAAACUCUCUCUCCAGCCCCACUUGUCUGUGACCUGGCCUCUCCUCCGCCGCCCGCCUUCUUCCUGAUCCUUGGUCAUUUCCUUUACCUUACUUUCGAAGCUUCCCAUUACCUUGGAAAGGGUUUCAUUCUUUACAAGAGACAGGAAGGCAGGUUCUGGUGCCUGGACAAGGUGAGGCUGCCCGAGAGCCAACUGCUGUCCCUCAGCUGCCCUCUCUGCUCCCUAAAUGAGGGGGGCCUCUGGGUUCUUCUGUGCUAGGAGAGGCGAUGGAAAGCAAAAAGACAUUUUCACAGUGGCUUCUGGGAACACACUGAGGAGUCUCUUGUCGGGUACGUGAUACGUGGUGGCAGUGACUAUGUGGCAACAGGAAGGUUCCACGGGGGCCCGUACCCUCUAACAGCCCCGGUCCUCUCACCUCUGUAGUCUCUGCUUCUCCUGGGGCCAAGAGGGGUCAUCUGUGUCAUCCUGCUUGCUUCUUAGAGAAACCAGGAGGAUCGAGUGAGAUACAGUUCGGACAGCCCUUUGAAAGGUUCCAAAGGACACUUACAUGCGAUUGCUGCUCUUUUGGAUUUCAGGGAGUGGAGGAAUAGGAACCAACAAUAGGCCACCCCAUCCCCCUCUGCCAGAAUUGGCCAAGCCUCUGUAGUUGCGGUGGCCGUGCCCUGCCAGAAGCUGUGGGAGGAGAGGGGCUUCAGAAGCCAGCAGCAGUUGGAACUCAGAGAGGAGUGUGGCCGCCUGAGCCUGUGGCCAGCAGAAACCACCCACCUCCCUGCUCGCCUGGCCUGCUCCAAACCCCAGGAAAGCCAGAGUUUCUGUGGAAACUGAAGCUGUGCCUGCUGGACCGGGCUGGGGUGGGGGCAGGGGGCUGCGUUCUGCCAAAUGGUGCCAGUGGGCCUGGAGGGGGAGCGACAGCUGGAGGGUAGGGACCUAGAGGCAGGCAGGGGCCUGCUCCUGCCAGCCUGGGCUAGGCCUGGGGACUGCCGCCUGCUCCCAGCUUAGCCCGUUCACCGGGUUUCUGAGCGAGCAGGAUGAGGCUUGGAGAGCCUGUGGGUAGGAUGCCGGAGAGGUCUGGGAGCAUCAGGCAAGGCAGAAGGUGCUCACCACCCAUGAAAACCAGCAGGGGGGUGGAGCUGCUCCAGGCAGCCCUGGCCAGCUCUGCUUCCAAUGGAGAGGCCCUUGCUCGGCCAGAGUCAGACCUGCUGCUCCUGGUGUGCGAAGACCCCCAUAGCCCUUCUCUGCUGACCCCAGACACACAGCUCCACCCCCAGGAGGGCACCCAGAUGGUGGAGGCUGUCCGAUCUGCUCCUGUGGGCACAUGUGCUCCUGGAGCCUCUCGAGUCUUCCUUCUGCUGGGCCGUCUAGCUGAGAAGGGUGGUUCCCAGGGUAGGGGGCCGGGAGACCGAGCCCACGUGAAAGAUCUACCUGAGGGGUGACUGCUACCGUGUCAGCGCUCUGGGCUCUUAAGAUCAGUCCCUCUGACAGUUUCAUCCUCCUAGACACUGGGUGGCAGUUUUUAUGGCCUGGCCCAUGACAUCAACUGGCCUCUUCUAAAAGGACCGACAUCUCUUGCUGCAGUACACAAUAGUUUAAGAGCAAUUUGAACCACACAACAUGAUGUUAAAAACAAAAAUGUACAGCUUUUUCUACAGAUGGCCAUUGAACCAAUGACCGUGACUUCACUGGCUCAAGGAGUCCCCAGUGUUUGUUUUGACCCCAUCACUGGUCAUUCUGCCCCACCCCCUCCUCCCCAGGCUCCUCCCCACCUUGGCUUUGGGAGAGUAACUUUGCCUUUCUGAUCCCCUCUUAGGCUGUUUUCUGUUGCUAGAACUAAAAAGUAACUGGAUAAUUUAUGGAGAGUAGAGGUUUAUUUACAUCAUGGUUCUGGAGGCUGGCGAGUCCAGGAGUGCCGGGGUGGCACUCUAGCAUGGCAGAGGGCAACACGUGGCAAGGCAGAGUGAGCAUGCUAGCUCAGGUCUCUCUCUUCUUGAAAAGCUUCUGAUGGCAUCAUGGGGGCCCCACCCUCAUGACCUCAUCUAACCCUAGUUGCCUACCAAGGGCCCCAGACUGUCCAUUUUGCCUCCAGGCUUCCCAAAUCUCCCGCCCCUCUCCUUUGAUUGACAUUUUCACUGUUUCAGGAAGGGGUCAAUCCUUCGCCAUGGUCUUUCCAGAAUGUUGCACCGGCCUGGAGGAUGCCCCUCUCCAUGGCUGCAUUCUCCCUCUAAAUGGCCCUCGGAGAGUGAAGGGACUUGCUCAGGCAGCUGGUCAGGGAUGGAGCCAUUAUUGGAACCCAGGUCUCCUUGAUCCAAAGCCACUUUUGUCUCAUUGCCUAACACUUCUCACUCCCCUCACUCAAUUACUCACACACCUUGAAGAUGCCGUUCAGUUUAUGGCCUAUCUUCCUUUCCCUGCAGGGUGUCCUUCCAGCUGGGCAGUCGCCAACUGCUUAGGAGAGCCUUGGUCACGAGGCACGUGCUCAGGUUUCUUAACCUGUCUGAAAUCUUCCCAGUCUUCCCCGAACAGUGCAUGGCGCCAGGUGCAGUGUGAUCCCAGCAGUUCCGGAGGCUGAGGCAGGAGCAUCACCAGUUCAAAACCAGCUUCUGCAACUUAGCAAGACCCUAAGCAACUCAGUGAGGCCCUGUCUCUAAAUAAAAUACAAAAAAGGGCUGGGGAUGGGGCUCAGUAGUGAGUGCCCCCAGGAUCAAUCCCUGGUACAAAAAAAAAAAAAGGAAAAAAGAAAAAAACUCAGUGCAUAGUAACCUGGAUCAGCAUCUUCUCCAUUCUUACAUUAGUCUGUCAGUCGCAUCAGUCACUUAGCAUCCUUUGCUGUCUCUGGGGAGCUGUAAGAGCCAGAGGACAGCAAAUGUUUUACCUGUCAUCCAUCCCUGUACGGCAACUGGUGCUUACAUGUAUUGAAUGAUUUAUCACAGUGCCAAGUAUGGAUUAUCUCAUUUACCUUUCCUAAUAACCAUAGACAAUAUUAUUUACCACCUUUACAGAUGAGGAAAUUCAAAGUAAGGGAGCAGUAGCGGCUCUAGAAUUUUAAUCAAUAGGAGGAAUUUAUGGAAUUUAAUCUGGUUGCUGGGGUUCCAGAGGAUUUUGCCCUGAAGUUGAGAUUCAUUGGGCCUUCUGUUUACUUUGCACAUUAUAUAUUUUGGGGACUGUAGACCUCCCUUCUGGAGAAAAGUGUAGGUCAUGGCUCAAGAUCACAUAGCUGGGAAGUAGCACAGUCAGGACACCACCCUGGAGAGCUGCUGGAGGUCACCUGAGAUAGUAGCCAGUAGGAGGUUAGUUAGAGGUUAGUUAAUGCCAAGUCACUAAUGUGUCAUUAACAUGGAGUUUACAAGCAGAAACCCAAAGGCCCCAUUUUUUUUCUAGUUUAUUGGUUAAUAGGGGAAAUAAGUCAUUAAAAUGUACAUAAUGACACAUACAGAAAAAAAAAGAGCACACCCAGCAGGUGCAACAAAAUAGCAGCUGGGCAGAAAUCUUUAUGUGGCAUGGCAGAGCUGCUGGGUAAGGGGCCUUGGGUAAAUAUAUUGGUUUCUAGCUGGGCAUGGUGGUGCACACACCUGUAAUCCCAACCACUGGGGAGGCUAAGGCAGGAAGAUAGCAAGUUCAAGGCUAGCCUGGGCAACUUAGCAAAAUCCUAUCUCAAAAUAAAAAGUAAAAAGGACUGGGGAUGUGACUCAGAGGAAAAGUGACCCUGGAUUCAAUCCCUAGUACCGGAAAAAAAAAAGUUUGUCUCUAGUUAUAGGUGUGUAUAUGACUCAAGGUGUUUGUUGUUGUUGUUUUUGGUACCAGGGAUUGAACCCAGAAGCUCUUAACUACUGAGCUACAUCCCCAGCACUUCUUAUUUUUUUAUUUCGAGACAGGGUCUUGCAAAGUUGCUUAGGCUUCACUAAGUUACUGAGGCUGACCUUGAACCUGCAAACUUACUGUCUGAGUCGCUGGGAUUACAGAUAUUGCCACCAUGCAGACAUGACUCAAAGUUUUGAGGGGAGGCUAUGCUUCCUAUUUCAUGGUCAGUUACCUGCCCUACUGACCACGUGGGUUCUGACUUCCUCCUUUAUGUAAAGAGGAUGUCAGCUUCAAUGGUCUCAAAGUCCCCUUCUAGCACUGAAACUUUAUGGCUAGUUUUGUUUUCAAAGCAGAAAAUACUUAGAACCCUUAGACUCUUAUCUAUUCCCAUGACUUUUUAAAAACUCAGAGAACAGCCUCUCAGACAUUAUCAGGUGGAAUCUCUGUUUUGAGACUUGUCUGUAGCCAGGUUUCAUCAGAAAUCAGCUUCCCUCCCUCCCUAUCCCCGGAAAACUUAGAUAAUCGUUAAAGUUAAGAAUCUUUUUUUUUUUUUAAGUCAUAGAAUUCUUUAAGUUACAUGGAAUUGGUUUAGGUCUCUUCCUGAUUUUACAUUCUUGGGGCCAAUUCCUCCUUAGGAUAGUGUGGGUGACUUGACGGUGGCUGGAGGAAAAGCCGGUUGUGUAUUUCCCCUCUCAGGGAAGCUGGGACAGCUUUAUUCCAGCCAGGGCCACCAUUCCUGCCCAGUCAGAUUUUGAGUGUUGAGAAUCCAGCUGCUUCCCAGAAGCCAGUCCACCCUACCCCCCUUUGGAGACUGAGAGAGUAAUAUUUAAUGACUCUGGUUCCAAGCCCAAGGAUCAGGGUUGCAUAGGGGCGAAGGUUACCAAUAUUCGGAGUCUAGGGGGCCAGGGGCUGCCUGGGAAACCCUUGAAGCUGCCAAGUGCCUUACAUCCAAGGAUCCCAGUGGUAUUCUGAGGAAAUGGGAGGGGGGUGGCAUGCAGCAGUAUUGGGAGAAGGCCCACUGAUGGGAACUAGCACUGUCAAGGCUCUGGGCUCUGUGACUGUCCGGGGCCACUGAGUGCUCUCUCUAGGGGCAUGCAGGGGAGCCUGUCUUGAGAGCUUCCCAGGACGGAACAGGUAUACAAGUGGAAGAGAGUGAACCUGGGCUGUGCCCCCAAGUGGGACAAGAAUCCUUAUGGCCUGCUGUGGAGACACCCUUCCACAGGGGAGAUAUUUUAGACAUUCAUUUGACAAAUCAUUCAUCUGUGCUAGAGAUGGAUUACCAAGAAUACUAACUUUGUAUGUUUUAUUUCCAGCUGGAAUAAAGUUGAAGUUUAG
rnacentral:lncRNA from 1 species